GAGUUUGAUCAUGGCUCAGGAUGAACGCUAGCGGCAGGCUUAACACAUGCAAGUCGAGGGGUAUUCUAGCAAUAGGAGAGACCGGCGCACGGGUGCGUAACGCGUAUGCAAUCUACCUUUCACAGAGGGAUAGCCCAGGGAAAUUUGGAUUAAUACCUCAUAGUAUUAUGGAAUGGCAUCAUUUUAUAAUUAAAGUCACAACGGUGAAAGAUGAGCAUGCGUCCCAUUAGCUAGUUGGUAAGGUAACGGCUUACCAAGGCGACGAUGGGUAGGGGUCCUGAGAGGGAGAUCCCCCACACUGGUACUGAGACACGGACCAGACUCCUACGGGAGGCAGCAGUGAGGAAUAUUGGACAAUGGGCGCAAGCCUGAUCCAGCCAUGCCGCGUGCAGGAUGACGGUCCUAUGGAUUGUAAACUGCUUUUGCACAGGAAGAAACACCCCCUCGUGAGGGGGCUUGACGGUACUGUGAGAAUAACGAUCGGCUAACUCCGUGCCAGCA
rnacentral:rRNA from 1 species